AAUCAACGGCUCCCAUACGAUCACUGAAGUUAAGCAACAUCGAGACUGCUCAGUACCGAGAUGGGUGACCGCUUGAGAAUACCAGAUGCUGUCA